UAAGGAAUAUUGGUCAAUGGACGAAAGUCUGAACCAGCCAUGCCGCGUGGAGGAUGAAGGUCCUCUGGAUUGUAAACUUCUUUUAUCUGGGAAGAAAUCCAUAUUUUCUAAUGUGGUUGACGGUACCAGAUGAAUAAGCACCGGCUAACUCCGUGCCAGCAGCCGCGGUAAUACGGAGGGUGCAAGCGUUAUCCGGAUUCACUGGGUUUAAAGGGUGCGUAGGUGGAUUGCCAAGUCCGUGGUGAAAUCUCUGAGCUUAACUCAGAAACUGCCGUGGAUACUGGUAAUCUUGAAUGCCGUGGAGGUUAGCGGAAUAUGUCAUGUAGCGGUGAAAUGCUUAGAUAUGACAUAGAACACCGAUUGCGAAGGCAGCUGACUACACGGUGAUUGACACUGAGGCACGAAAGCGUGGGGAUCAAACAGG
rnacentral:rRNA from 1 species